rnacentral:rRNA from 1 species
AGUGAACGCUGGCGGUAGGCCUAACACAUGCAAGUCGAACGGCAGCACAGCAGAGCUUGCUCUGUGGGUGGCGAGUGGCGGACGGGUGAGGAAUACGUGGGAAUCUGCCCAGUCGUGGGGGAUAACGUAGGGAAACUUACGCUAAUACCGCAUGCGCCCUUCGGGGGAAAGCCGGGGACCUUCGGGCCUGGCGCGAUUGGAUGAGCCCACGUCGGAUUAGCUAGUUGGCGGGGUAAAGGCCCACCAAGGCGACGAGCCGUAGCUGGUCUGAGAGGAUGAUCAGCCACACUGGAACUGAGACACGGUCCAGACUCCUACGGGAGGCAGCAGUAGGGAAUAUUGGACAAUGGGCGCAAGCCUGAUCCAGCCAUGCCGCGUGAGUGAAGAAGGCCCUCGGGUUGUAAAGCUCUUUUGUCCGGAAAGAAAAGCGCCGGGUUAAUACCCUGGUGUCCUGACGGUACCGGAAGAAUAAGUACCGGCUAACUUCGUGCCAGCAGCCGCCGUAAAAC